UCCGUUAUGGUGUAGUGGCUAGCAUCGGCCGCUCUCAUUCAUUCAUUCCCAGAGCAUUAAAACCGGCCAGACCGGGGUUCGAUUCCCCGUAACGGAA